AUUUUGAAAUUUUUAUUUCAUGGUUCCUUGAGGUUUAUUGACUACAUGCUAUAGAGGAAGGGAUUUGGGGCAUACAAAUAUAGUGUAAACGGUACAAUUGUUUAUCUAAAUAGAAUGUAAAUGUCAUCUUAUUCUGACUGAUGAGAUAAAUUCACUCCACACAUAUAUGUCCUAGUUGAAUCUUUAAUGAUUUCUUAACUACCCCUGCAUAUUCAGAGCCUUUUAAAAUAGGAAAGGAUUUCUUAGGAAGAAAGGUAGAACAAUCAAGCGGAAGUUACCCUGGAAUUCUGAAUGACACAAGGAUAUCCUUUAAAAAGUCAUACAGUGAUUUAGAGCCUUACUUUGAGAGGAGUUAAAGCUAGAUUUAGUUUUUGGUUUUGCUGCAGACAUCCUAUGUGACCUUGGACAUUGCACCAGAGGCACCAAGCCAAUUGGAAACAUAAGACUUUGAGAUUUAACUGGAAUUCAGAUUGUCUGAAUCUGGGCUUUAGCUUCUCUGUGCCUCAGGUCCCUGUCUGUGAAAAGAAGAUAAAUUGACUUCCCUGCUUCACAGUGAUAUUGGACAGACAAAUUCAUCUCAGACUGUAAGCAACCUUUCCACGCCUGUUGUAGAACAAGCAGAAGACAUGGCAAAAUGCUUUACCUUUCAAACAGAGCUCAGUACUGUAGAAGAAGCUAGGGAAAAGUGUUUAGAUUUGUCUUGACGCAAUUUGAGCUUUGCUGUAGCUGAAGAGAGUAAACCUGAACAGCAACUGUGGUUACUGGUAUCUACAAGAUAUGCAAUAAAUGUGAAACUUGAUUAAAAUCUGAUCCA
rnacentral:lncRNA from 1 species